rnacentral:rRNA from 1 species
UUGGAGGGCAAGUCUGGUGCCAGCAGCCGCGGUAAUUCCAGCUCCAAUAGCGUAUAUUAAAGUUGUUGUGGUUAAAAAGCUCGUAGUUGAACCUUGGGCCUGGCUGGCCGGUCCGCCUCACCGCGUGUACUGGUCCGGCCGGGCCUUUCCCUCUGUGGAACCCCCAUGCCCUUCACUGGGUGUGGCGGGGAAACAGGACUUUUACNGUGAAAAAAUUAGAGUGCUCCAGGCAGGCCUAUGCUCGAAUACAUUGGCAUGGAAUAAUAGAAUAGGA